rnacentral:rRNA from 1 species
AACGAACGCUGGCGGCAGGCUUAACACAUGCAAGUCGAGCGCCCCGCAAGGGGAGCGGCAGACGGGUGAGUAACGCGUGGGAAUCUACCCAUCUCUACGGAAUAACGCAUGGAAACGUGUGCUAAUACCGUAUACGUCCUUCGGUAGAAAGAUUUAUCGGAGAUGGAUGAGCCCGCGUUGGAUUAGCUAGUUGGUGGGGUAAAGGCCUACCAAGGCGACGAUCCAUAGCUGGUCUGAGAGGAUGAUCAGCCACACUGGGACUGGGACACGGCCCAGACUCCUACGGGAGGCAGCAGUGGGGAAGAUUGGACGAUGGGCGCAAGCCUGAUCCAGCCAUGCCGCGUGAGUGAUGAAGGCCCUAGGGUUGUAAAGCUCUUUCACCGGUGAAGAUAAUGACGGUAACCGGAGAAGAAGCCCCGGCUAACUUCGUGCCAGCCGCCGCGGUAACAC